rnacentral:rRNA from 1 species
AUUGAACGCUGGCGGCAUGCUUUACACAUGCAAGUCGAACGGUAACAGGCCGCAAGGUGCUGACGAGUGGCGAACGGGUGAGUAAUGCAUCGGAACGUGCCCAGUCGUGGGGGAUAACGCAGCGAAAGCUGCGCUAAUACCGCAUACGAUCUAUGGAUGAAAGCGGGGGACCGUAAGUCCUCGCGCGAUUGGAGCGGCCGGUGUCAGAUUAGGUAGUUGGUGGGGUAAAGGCUCACCAAGCCAACGAUCUGUAGCUGGUCUGAGAGGACGACCAGCCACACUGGGACUGAGACACGGCCCAGACUCCUACGGGAGGCAGCAGUGGGGAAUUUUGGACAAUGGGCGCAAGCCUGAUCCAGCAAUGCCGCGUGCAGGAAGAAGGCCUUCGGGUUGUAAACUGCUUUUGUACGGAACGAAACGGUCCUGGUUAAUACCUGGGGCUAAUGACGGUACCGUAAGAAUAAGCACCGGCUAACUACGUGCCAGCCGCCGCCGUAACAC